rnacentral:lncRNA from 1 species
GUAUUUUCACGUGGUUACAUUGAUUCCAUAAUAUUCAGAUAAAUGACAUUGCAUUGUACCAGUUAAUUUAUAUUCAUAACUUAAUGCAUAUAUUCCGAGUGUCCCAGACCGCCGUAUACUUAUUUGGAGUGUCCGGAUGGCCGCGUGUUGACGCAUUGGCGCGUCGCAUCGACGCUAUUGCGCGAAUUCGCCGCUGCUUUUCGUGGGAUGCUGGGUGGGAUUGCAUAAAUUGCGGGGCCCGGAGGGAAUGGUAUCGAUCGGUGGGGAGGUCGAGACACGCAAAAUGGCCCUAAUGCAUUGGGGAUCAAGG